GCCUCGUGUAGCGGGUGUCAAGCCCCCCGACCAG
rnacentral:tRNA from 1 species